rnacentral:rRNA from 1 species
CGCGAGAAGUUGACCGCCUGGGGAGUACGGUCGCAAGAUUAAAACUCAAAGGAAUUGACGGGGACCCGCACAAGCGGUGGAUGAUGUGGAUUAAUUCGAUGCAACGCGAAAAACCUUACCUACCCUUGACAUGUACGGAAGUCUGCUGAGAGGUGGAUGUGCCUGAAAGGGAACCGUAACACAGGUGCUGCAUGGCUGUCGUCAGCUCGUGUCAUGAGAUGUUGGGUUAAGUCCCGCAACGAGCGCAACCCUUGGUAUUAAUUGCCAUCAUUGAGUUGGGCACUUUAAUAAGACUGCUGGUGAUAAACCGGAGGAAGGUGGGGAUGACGUCAAGUCCUCAUGGCCCUUAUGGGUAGGGCUUCACACGUCAUACAAUGGCCGGUACAGAGGGAUGCCAACCCGCGAGGGGGAGCCAAUCUCAGAAAGCCGGUCGUAGUCCGGAUUGUUCUCUGCAACUCGAGAGCAUGAAGUCGGAAUCGCUAGUAAUCGCGGAUCAGCAUGUCGCGGUGAAUACGUUCCCGGGUCUUGUACACACCGCCCGUCACACCAUGGGAGUGGGUGAUACCAGAAGUAGGCAGUCUAACGGCAAGGGGGGCGCUUACCACGGUAUGAUUCAUGACUGGGGU